rnacentral:rRNA from 1 species
CAGGGAGGUAGUGACAAUAAAUAACAAUAUAGGGCCUUACAGGUCUUAUAAUUGGAAUGAGUACAAUUUAAAUCCCUUAACGAGGAACAAUUGGAGGGCAAGUCUGGUGCCAGCAGCCGCGGUAAUUCCAGCUCCAAUAGCGUAUAUUAAAGUUGUUGCAGUUAAAAAGCUCGUAGUUGAAUUUCAGGCCCUGGUCGAUCGGUCCGCUUCACGGCGUGCACUGUUUCGAUUGGGCCUUCCUUUCUUGGUGAGCCUUGCAUGCCGUUUAUUCGGUGUGCAAGUGUCUGGCCAGGACUUUUACUUUGAAAAAAUUAGAGUGUUCAAAGCAGGCCUAUGCCCGAAUAUAUUAGCAUGGAAUAAUAGAAUAGGACGUUGCGGUCCUAUUUUGUUGGUUUCUAGGAUCCGCCGUAAUGAUUAAUAGGGAUAGUCGGGGGCAUUCGUAUUCACAUGCUAGAGGUGAAAUUCUUGGAUUUUGUGAAGACGAACUACUGCGAAAGCAUUUGCCAAGGAUGUUUUCAUUAAUCAAGAACGAAGGUUAGGGGAUCGAAAACGAUUAGAUACCGUUGUAGUCUUAACAGUAAACUAUGCCGACUAGGGAUCGGACGAUGUUAUUUUUUCUUGACUCGUUCGGCACCUUGAGAGAAAUCAAAGUCUUGG